rnacentral:lncRNA from 1 species
UUGCAGGUGGAUGAGGAGAAGAAGCAGGUGACCAUGGAGGCUGGCAUCCUCCUGGCCAACCUGCACCCACAGCUGGAUGAGCAUGGCCUGGCCCUGUCCAGCCCAGCCUGGGCAUAGUGGUAGAUGUGACUGCAGCUGGCGUCGUUGGGUCUGGAAUGCAAAACAUGGGAAUCAGGCCUGGCACCCCGGCCAGCCAGUUCCUCCAUAGCCUGGACAGCAUUGGAAGAAAUCUGAGGACUUCUGCUUCCUCUGGUUCCCACACAGCGAGAAUGUCAGUGCCAUCCACCAGGACCACACCAGCAAGCAUCUUCUUGCAGUGCCUUGUGGGCUGGAUCAAUGGCUUUUUGUUUCUGACUCCUGUUUGCCUGCCAGGAGAACAGCAACCUCAGCCCCAAGAUCUUCACCCACGUGUGCCACUUCAAGCAGCAUGUCCAGCACUGGGCCAUCCCCAGGGGAAAGAAGACCACGGAGGCCCUGCUGGAGCUGAAGGCCGUGCUGGAGGCCCACCCUGAGGUGGUGUCCCACUACCUGGUGGGGGUACGCUUCACCUGGAGGAUGACAUCCUACUGAGCCCCUGCUUCCAGUGGGACAGCCGCUACCUGAACAUCAACCUGUACAGGUGCCACACUGUACCUCAAAGAACUUUGAGAAAAUGCAUCCUGCCUUCCCAAAGUUCUGUGCCAUCUGAGAAAAGCUAGAACCCACUGGGAUGUUCCUAAAUUUGUAUUUGGAGAAGGUGUUCUACUGA